GUGGCUCAUGGCUGUAGUCUGAGGUGGGAGGCUGGGGGGAGGAUCGCUUGAACCUCAGAGGUUGAGGCUGUCGUGAGCCGUGUUGGCACCACUGCACCCCAGCCUGGACAGCACAGAGAGACCCUGUCUCUACAAAAAGUCCAAAUCGGCGGAGAGUGGUGAUGCGUGCUUACAAUCCCAGGCAUUCAGGAGGCUGAGCUGGGAGGAUCUCUUGAGCCUCUGAGGUUGAGGCUGCAGUGAGCCGAGAUCCUGCCUUUGUACACCAGCCCGGGCGACAGAGUGAGAGUCUGUCUCAGAAAAAAACAAAAAACUAACGAAGAAAAAUGUUCACAGUGAGUUUGCUUGUCACGUGACAAUUUUUUGACUACCCAGCCCCUGUUGAUACCAAAGGCAGAGAAGAAAACAGAGUAAAAUUCCUUCCUGAUGGAGCCGCAUUCCUGGGAAGAGAGGUCGGAACGCACGAGGACCAGACAGAUAAGAACACGUUUAGAAUCUCAGAUUGUGAUAAAAUGCCAAGGAGGAAAACAGAACAGGGGUGAGGAGUGUGACAGCCAGCCACAGAGGCCGGACUGGAGUUUCAGAGCAUUUGAGAACAUCUGAAUUACAAGGAAGGUACAAAUAUUGCCAUUCAGCCCCCACCCUGGAAACAUAACUUGCUCAGUUCAGUUCAGCAAGCCUGGCCCUGCUACGCGUGACGGUGACACAGAAGCCAAGAGGGCCACGGAGACCAGGGAGUACAGGCGAUGGCAGGGUGAGCCACGGCGCUAAUUACAGGCCAUCACCUGCAUCCCUCGGCUUGUCCUCCCUGCGUGUCUUCAAAGCCAGCCAUGGUGGGGUGUGGGGGCUCAUGUCUGCAAUCCCAGCACUCUGGGAAGGUGAGGUUGGGGGAUCGCCUGAGCCCAGGAGUUUGAGGCCAGCCUGGGAAACAUAGCAAGACCGCAUCUCUACUAAAAAUAAAAAAUUAACCAGGUAUCUUGACACACACCUGUAGUCCCACCUACUCAGGAGGCUGAGGCUGGAGGAUCAGUUGAA